CAGUCGCCACGGUAAUACAGAGGGUGCGAGCGUUAAUCGGAUUUACUGGGCGUAAAGCGUGCGUAGGCGGCUUUUUAAGUCGGAUGUGAAAUCCCUGAGCUUAACCUAGGAAUUGCAUUCGAUACUGGGAAGCUAGAGUAUGGGAGAGGAUGGUAGAAUUCCAGGUGUAGCGGUGAAAUGCGUAGAGAUCUGGAGGAAUACCGAUGGCGAAGGCAGCCAUCUGGCCUAAUACUGACGCUGAGGUACGAAAGCAUGGGGAGCAAACAGGAUUAGAUACCCCGGUAGUCCCUGUCUCUUAUAC
rnacentral:rRNA from 1 species